UUGCUACAAAAAACAGCCUCAGUGAAAAUUACAAAUUGCACUUGUCUCAGAAACAUUAAAACAAAAAUACUCCUUUUAUUUUUAGUUUUUGUGUGACUCCCUGCAGUGACAAGAAAAACUAAGGAAUGCAUUUCCUCAGAAAGCCAAUGUAAAUGCUAAGAAAAGCAGGCCAGGUUCCAAAAUAUGCCUCCAAAAAUGGACUGAAUUCAGAUUGAUUAUACUUAUUGUAUUUAAUGCUGUAAUGGCACCUCACAGUGUGUCAUAGUAGACCCCACAUAACAGACAAAUAUGCCUCCUAGGGAUUGUGAACAGGACAGCAGCAAUCUGACGGGAUGCCGAGUCCAGUACUGUGUCUCGGGUCCAGUAAUAUUUGCGAAAAAAGAAAAAAGUAACAGCUCAUGGGGCCUUAAUUAGACAGAAAUCCUUGCUGACACAUGAUUGAAACAUGAGAAACUAAAAGAAGGAUAUGCUCAGAAAUUACACUUGAAUGGUUAGAUGAGCAGUCCCGGUGCAAAAAUCUGACUGGAUGCUUAGUAAGUAGUACAGCACGUUUGUCCUAACAAUAGUGUUCAGAAAAGUAAUGGUUCACUUUGUCUUUAAUUCAAGACAAUGUUUGCUGUGAGCAUAAAAGAUCACUUAAACUACAGAAUAUAUUUUUCUCAGGAAUGACGUGAAUUCUAAGGUCUUGGCCCCUCGUAAUGAAUUUCAGUUGAUAAUACUGUACAUGCAUGUGAACAAAAAAUUAUGGCAGGAUGGUGUAGUAAUUGUUAACAUCUGCCACACAGUUGAGAGGUCUUUGGUUCAAACCAUGGCUCGGGCCUACAUGAGUGGUGUUUGUGCUCCACAUGCCUGCUUUGGUUUUCUCUAGGUGUUUCCUUCUCUUCCUCCUAUAUUUCAAAAGCAUGUUACAUUCACUGAAGAUUCAAGGCCGCCACACAACAAACGACACAACCAAACGCGACUGAACAGUCGCACAGUGUGCGCGGUUCUCCAACUAGUCUUAGUGAGUGGCUGACGGUCGACCACUACUUUUGCUGCAAUUCAAAAUUUGAAUCUCAGGUGAACGGCAUCGCAAUAUUGCAGGUGUAAUAAUGACCAAUCAGAAUUGCCAUGUUGUAUCACAUGAGCUUUCGCAACAAAAUUACGUUUCCGGUUACCUACUGAGAUCCAGCCGGCAGCCUCAAACCAUAUCGAUACAGUAUACUAUAUUUAUAAUACCAGUGUGUGUGUAUGUAUGUAUAUGUAUAUGUACACACACAAAGAACCCUUCAAACUUACAAAUUCACACCCACGGACAAUUUAGUUUGCAACGAACCUAAAAACAGCAAAACAUGAAAACUCCACACAGAAGGGCCUGAGCUGAGAUUCGAAUCCGUGCUAACCACUCCAACACUGUGCUGCCCCAUUUGAUUGCAUUAUAUUCAUUUUGUUGUUGUUGUUGAUGCACAAUAUCAGUAACAUUUGCCCAAUAAUACUCACACAGAAGCCUCUUCUGUGUGCAACUUUCACCUCCCACAUUCCCUCCUCUUGCUUCCGGUCUUGCUUCCCAGUCCUGUGCCAAGGCCAGCACCUUGCAUGUAGUGUACGAGCAUCCCUCACUGUUGUGUGCGUGUGUGUGUGUUCCUGAAUGUGUAUCUGUGGGUGUGUGUUUGGGUGGCUGCAGAGCACAGCCGGAGACUUUCCGUUGAUGACUGGCUUCCUCCAGGGGAGCGCCAGGGCCUGCAGAGUCUAUGCCAAAAUGCACCUCUGACGGGAAUCAGGAGUACAGUCAACCUCCGUUUAAUGCAGGGAAUGCAUUCCAGACCCAGCCACAAUAGGCGAAAAUUGGCGCUAUAAAGAGAGCAUAUAAAAAAUUAUUCUAGUUUUACCGCACCCAUAUGCUCUUAGCACAAACAAAACAGAAAGUGCAUCGGCGACUGUGGCUCACCUUUCCCACUUGGGCAUUACAGUAAAUAAUGUAAAGUAAAAAAUAAGUAUAUUGCAAAAACGCAUAAAACAUUGCAAUAAACCACAGAUUUCCAUAUACUGGACAGUGUUUAAUUCUCCUUAUGUGUCACUUUUUCAGUAACCUGCAACUGGGAGUGACAAAAAAACAGCUUGAAGCCAGCUUGCUUUGCAUCUUGGAUUCAAAGAACUGUGCAUGCAAGAGAAUGAGAACAGACACUAAGGAAUAGUCUAAGUUUAAAUAUGUGUGAAGCAUAUGGGAGGGGUAAAACUAAAACAAUCUUUUUUUUAGAUAGUCUCUAAUGUACAGACUUUUACCUAUUGCUUGUGGAUCUAGAACAAAUCCCCCAUGAUAAACAGCGUUCACUGGAUUCUUUAUUCAAGCCCUGUGUAGAGUUUUACUCACCUGUGAUCAUCACGUUGGGAAAAGAUGUGAUGAGGGAAGUGUCUACCCAGACAAACCUGCAAUUGGCCUGCUGACCCAGCUGAUGAGCUCUGCAUUAAACGCCCGCGAACAGCAGCAAAUCAGGCAGCUUUGCCCGCUAUCGACAAGAAACGAUCCAGAGUAAGGCCCCUAUUCGCCUGCGGGUCAAGACGAUCGUCAAUCAAUCGGAGUUCAAUGAUGGACAGGGGGGCGAUAUUGACCAGGAGGGGUCACAGAAUGAACUGGCUCCAGCUGACCCGUGUGGCUCCUGGCAACAAGGCGGGCACAUUCAAUCUCUCUUGACCCGCUCUGCUUUGACCCUUCACCCGUGGCGAGGCUGCCCCCGUGUGAUCUCUCAUCUCCGGGGAUCAAUAACUCUUGACUGUCACCUCGAGGACCACAGGACUGGAGCGUUGAGGGAGAUCACAUUCCCAGAUUUCAUUGGCUUCACUACGGGCUGUACAUGAUUCCCAAGAAGAGACCCCCCUCCUCCCUUGUUAAAUAAGGGAGUCCUUCACAUAGCUGAUUGUACAAAGAGGAGCAGAGGGAGGACAAGCCAGGCCCCAGAUGGACAGUGUGUAAUGUUGUUAGCUAUAGUUAGCCAAUUUAGUCACACUGCCAGCAGCUCCCAUUACAUGAUCUAAUUCUCCCCUCUCUAGCGCUCUUCCCAUCCAAUUUGCCAGGGGUCCUACACAGGCCAGAGAGGAUGGGGUGAUGGAGGUGAAAGACAGAUGGACAGAUGUGUGGAUGUGAAAGUAGCGGAGGAGGUCUUAUAUGCAGGCCAUCGCUCAGGAACCUCCCCAACAAUAGAAAAGGCAUCAAACUUGAAUAAAGACAUUAAUAAUUCAGUCA